rnacentral:tRNA from 1 species
UCCCUGGUGGUCCAGUGGUUAAGACUUUCACUGCUGUGGGCCCAGGUUCAAUCCCUGGUCAGGGAA